AUUGAACGCUGGCGGCAGGCCUAACACAUGCAAGUCGAGCGAGCGGCGGACGGGUGAGUAAUGCUUGGGAAUCUAGCUUAUGGAGGGGGAUAACUACGGGAAACUGUAGCUAAUACCGCGUACCAUAGGAUGAGCCCAAUUGGGAUUAGGUAGUUGGUGAGGUAAAGGCUCACCUAGGCGACGAUCUCUAGCUGGUCUGAGAGGAUGAUCAGCCACACUGGAACCGAGACACGGCCCAGACUCCUACUGGAGGCAGCAGUGGGGAAUAUUGCACAAUGGGCGCAAGCCUGAUACAGCCAUGCCGCGUGUAUGAAGAAGGCCUUAGGGUUGUAAAGUACUUUCAGCGGGGAGGCGUUACCCGCAGAAGAAGCACCGGCUAACUCCGUGCCAGCAGCCGCGGUAAUAC
rnacentral:rRNA from 1 species